rfam:Cavia porcellus supercont2_4 genomic scaffold, whole genome shotgun sequence.
GGGGAUUUAGCUCAGCGGCAUGGGCGCCUGCCUUGCAAGCAGGCAGUCGUGAGUUCGAUUCCCAGUACCGA